GGGUCUUUAGCUCAGCAGUAGAGCGGCAGACUUCGGUAGGAAUUCUGAAGAAACUUUCACGGUUGUAUUCUGCAGGUCGCGGGUUCAAUCCCCGUAGGACUCU
rnacentral:tRNA from 1 species